rnacentral:rRNA from 1 species
AGUGAACGCUGGCGGUAGGCCUAACACAUGCAAGUCGAACGGCAGCACAGUAAGAGCUUGCUCUUACGGGUGGCGAGUGGCGGACGGGUGAGGAAUAAACCGGAAUCUACUUUUUCGUGGGGGAUAACGUAGGGAAACUUACGCUAAUACCGCAUACGACCUACGGGUGAAAGCAGGGGAUCUUCGGACCUUGCGCGAUUGAAUGAGCCGAUGUCGGUUUAGCUAGUUGGCGGGGUAAAGGCCCACCAAGGCGACGAUCCGUAGCUGGUCUGAGAGGAUGAUCAGCCACACGGGAACUGAGACACGGUCCAGACUCCUACGGGAGGCAGCAGUGGGGAAUAUUGGACAAUGGGCGCAAGCCUGAUCCAGCAUACCGCGUGGGUGAAGAAGGCCUUCGGGUUGUAAAGCCCUUUUGUUGGGAAAGAAAAGCAGCAGGUUAAUACCCCGCUGUUCUGACGGUACCCAAAGAAUAAGCACCGGCUAACUUCGUG